rnacentral:rRNA from 1 species
UACGGGGGGAGCAAGCGUUGUUCGGAUUUACUGGGCGUAAAGGGCGCGUAGGCGGCCAGCACAAGUCAGUUGUGAAAUCUCCGAGCUUAACUCGGAAAGGUCAACUGAUACUGUGCGGCUAGAGUGCAGAAGGGGCAACUGGAAUUCUUGGUGUAGCGGUGAAAUGCGUAGAUAUCAAGAGGAACACCUGAGGUGAAGACGGGUUGCUGGUCUAACACUGACGCUGAUGCGCGAAAGCCAGGGGAGCAAACGGG